GACGAACGCUGGCGGCGUGCUUAACACAUGCAAGUCGAACGGAAAGGCCCUGCUUUUGUGGGGUGCUCGAGUGGCGAACGGGUGAGUAACACGUGAGUAACCUGCCCUUGACUUUGGGAUAACUUCAGGAAACUGGGGCUAAUACCGGAUAGGAGCUCCUGCUGCAUGUUGUGGGUUGGAAAGUUUCGGCGGUUGGGGAUGGACUCGCGGCUUAUCAGCUUGUUGGUGGGGUAGUGGCUUACCAAGGCUUUGACGGGUAGCCGGCCUGAGAGGGUGACCGGCCACAUUGGGACUGAGAUACGGCCCAGACUCCUACGGGAGGCAGCAGUGGGGAAUAUUGCACAAUGGGCGGAAGCCUGAUGCAGCAACGCCGCGUGCGGGAUGACGGCCUUCGGGUUGUAAACCGCUUUCGCCUGUGACGAAGCGUGAGUGACGGUAAUGGGUAAAGAAGCACCGGCUAACUACGUG
rnacentral:rRNA from 1 species